CGAGUGAAGCGGCAAAAGCUCAAAUUUGAAAUCUAGCACCUUCGGUGUUCGAGUUGUAAUUUGAAGAUGGUAACCUUGGGUUUGGCUCUUGUCUAUGUUCCUUGGAACAGGACGUCAUAGAGGGUGAGAAUCCCGUCUGAUGAGAUGCCCAUUCCUAUGUAAGGUGCUAUCGAAGAGUCGAGUUGUUUGGGAAUGCAGCUCUAAGUGGGUGGUAAAUUCCAUCUAAAGCUAAAUAUUGGCGAGAGACCGAUAGCGAACAAGUACAGUGAUGGAAAGAUGAAAAGAACUUUGAAAAGAGAGUGAAAAAGUACGUGAAAUUGUUGAAAGGGAAGGGCAUUAGAUCAGACUUGGUGUUUUACGAUUAUCUUCUCUUCUUGAGUUGUGCACUCGUAUUUCACUGGGCCAGCAUCGAUUCGGAUGGCAAGAUAAUGGCAGUUGAAUGUGGCUUCACUUCGGUGGAGUGUUAUAGCUUCUGCUGAUAUUGCCUGUCUGGAUCGAGGCUGC
rnacentral:rRNA from 1 species